CCUAAGAAAUUUUUUACACCAAAAUUACAUGUUAUGAUAGAAUUUGGAGGUGCGCUUUAGUUGGAUUGUUUAAGGUUGUAACCUUAUAGAAACCACACCCCUCAUUAAAUACAAAUGGUAGAAAUGGACAUAGGUGGUUAAAGUGUCAAGACAUAGGUAGUUAAAGUGCUAGAUGUUAUGCCGUCUUGAAAUCCAUUCCUAAACAUAGGUAAUAGGUGGUUAAAGUGCUAGAUGUUAUAUGCCGUCUUGAAAUCCAUUCUUAAGCAUACGUAAUGGAUCUCUUCCUACUAGUCUAUCUUAAACAAAAAACAAAAAAUCAAAUACACAAACAACAAACAAAAAAUCAAAAUACACAUAAAGAGAUCAAUUAUUUAAUACUUU
rnacentral:lncRNA from 1 species